GCUGAUGUAGCUCAAUUGGUAGAGCAACUGACUUGUAAUCAGUAGGUUGUGGGUUCAAUUCCUAUCAUCAGCU
rnacentral:tRNA from 1 species